rnacentral:rRNA from 1 species
GAUGAACGCUGGCGGCGUGCCUAAUACAUGCAAGUCGAGCGAACAGACGAGGAGCUUGCUCCUCUGACGUUAGCGGCGGACGGGUGAGUAACACGUGGAUAACCUACCUAUAAGACUGGGAUAACUUCGGGAAACCGGAGCUAAUACCGGAUAAUAUAUUGAACCGCAUGGUUCAAUAGUGAAAGACGGUUUUGCUGUCACUUAUAGAUGGAUCCGCGCCGCAUUAGCUAGUUGGUAAGGUACGGCUUACCAAGGCAACGAUGCGUAGCCGACCUGAGAGGGUGAUCGACCACACUGGAACUGAGACACGGUCCAGACUCCUACGGGAGGCAGCAGUAGGGAAUCUUCCGCAAUGGGCGAAAGCUUGACGGAGCAACGCCGCGUGAGUGAUGAAGGUCUUCGGAUCGUAAAACGCUGUUAUUAGGGAAGAACAAAUGUGUAAGUAACUAUGCACGUCUUGACGGUACCUAAGCAGAAAGCCACGGCUAACUACGU